CUGCUCCUCAUACACCUCCCCCUCCAGAACCUGCACUAUCUUUGUAAGUGAGUCUCCUUUGGACAGUCUCUAGUCUCUAGUCUCCUUUGGACACUCUCUAGUAGUUUUAUAUCCUUCUUACACUGUGGCGCCCACAGCUGCACACAGUACUUAAGCGAGGCCGCACCAGUGCAGAGGGUGAAAGGACUCGGCAUAAGACGUAAUUAUUCCUUGCUAUGCAACUCCGUAACUAACAGGACUGGGCCUUGUGAGAGCAAAGGUCUCCAUUGGAGCCUCAGUCCCUGCCUUAGAUGUAGAUACAUAUGCAGCAGGUCCCUUGAAGUUAGGUGGGGUGAAUCUGAUCUGCCAGUUUCUCCUGAUGUGUGAACAAUGUAAGUCAAUGACAGCUCAGAUUGUUUCUGCAGCAAUUACACAGAGCAGCAAUUACAUUUCUGCAGCAAUUACAAGGAGUGGCACUGGAGUUACAGGGAAAUGAGGGGAAAGAAAGAGAGAGAAGGAAACACAGCAGGAAUAUUGGCCACAUUGUGCAAUCUGUAGCCUAGACCUAUUCUUGGGGCAAGCCAUGAGACAGUGAGUGGUACCCAAAUCAUUUCUGAAGUCAGGAGUUGUGCAUCAGAGAGAGGGCUGCUCACUGGUAGGGACCCCAAUCUCCUCCUUGUAUGCUUGUCCCUGCCUUUUUUGGGGGAGUGCAGAAAAAGGGUCCUUUAGGCUUUGUCAGAGAUAGAAUCCCUAUUGCUUUGGUGACAAAACAAACAGCGAGAGUGACCAGUAGGAGAUGAUGAGGGGGAAACACGAAAACAAAGAAAGUUAAUGUACCUUCAGGGCUUUCUGCAAUGUGAAGCCCUGGGGCAUCUUCUGCCUCUGCUGACCUCUUGAGGGCUGGUGGACCUCAACAGGAUUUUCUGCCACCAGUGUAGAUGAGUUUGAACCCACAGGCCUUUGGCCUCAGCCACUCCCUCUGGCAAUGAGCAACUAUGCUGCAGUCUCCAAAAGAAGGAGUCUGGGGGCAGGUGGUGGCAGAGAGAGGUCAUACAGUGGAAGGAGAGGCCAUGAGUAGGGGGGCUUUUAGUAGUCAGUGAGAGGGGAGCCCUGGCUGAGGGGCAACCAUGUCCCUCCCCACCUUUCCAUUAUGUUACUAGCUCUCCAAAAUGCACUGGGAUUUAUGGCACUGAGAGACAUGGGUUGUGUUUCCAUGUAGGUACAAGAGCUCAGGUGGGGAGAAAGGCAAUGUGAGGAGGAGGCAGGAAGAGAAAAGGAGAAAAGGGGCAUUCAUGACAGAUGGGGAAAGAGAUGGCAAUUUGUCACUGAAAUCAUCAUUAGAAAUACCUUCUGAGGACAUCCCCUUAGAGGUUUGCCACAAGAUUUGUAAUGUAAAAACCCCAGGGAAAACCCAGGCAAACACUAUGCUAAAUUAGCAGGUUGAAAAUACAGAUUAAUAAAUCCAUAGCGAGCAUCCUUAUGGUGACACUGCAGCAUCCAUGCUGGCCCUAGGCAGCUGCCACAGUGACACUGAAUGAUGGGUGUGCUCCCUGUGCGUGGCUUUAGCAGAGGACACCUCGUCGCGUGGCCUUGCCUGGUCACUGUACUCAAAAGGCACAGUCAGAGACUCUCCGAAGGAUGUUGCCUGGCACUCCAACCCUUGGCACGUGAGCUACCUGCAAAGCACAAAGUGAAUGCUUAAUAAGGCGUCGUCUGGUUUCCAUACAUAUAUAUAUAUGGAAAAAAUAUGGAAAAUAUAUACGGAUGUAUGUGUGUAGGUUUCCAUACAGGCUAUUAUUAGGGCUGCAAUCAGAAUAAGUAAAGUGCUCUUGUUGACCUCUGCUCCCCAUCCUGCCGUAGGCAAUAACCCUGAUGCUGAGGCAAGCUGCAGAGCUUGCCUCCUUCCUGUGGGGCUGUCCCUUACCCCUCAGUGCUCUCUCCAGCCUCGAGAGGGAAGAUUUCAGCUGCCUUCAGCUGCAGAAGUGGAGCCACCUUCCCUCACACAUGCCUGACUUAUAGACCAUUUUAAAGUACGCCAUGGGGGCGUCUAAUAUGCUAAUGAAGAAAGUGGGUGGAAGAGCAGGAAUUUGAGCACAGCUAAAAAUGUACAUGCCUAACAAUUGCAAAUCAGCCUGUGCUGAAGUUACCUAAAUGGGUUGGCAUCAGUGGAAGGUGGGUGCCUCUACACCUCUUCUUGUCAGUUUGCUGUGAGUACACGGCUAAAAAAAAAUCAUACGCCUCUCUAUAUGGACCUGCUGUUUCAGCCAGGGUUAUCAGUAAAGGUUUAUAUCAAAAAGUCCCUACUUUCCACUCUUACUCAAACAGUAGGAGGAACAGUGUCUUCAUGCAAACACAUCCCAGACUGGUUGCAGGCAUAGUAUUUCAGAUAUGCUGUGGCAUCUGGCUGCAUUAACAGAUCUAAGUAUCAUCUUGAAAUGGACUUCUAAAAUAUUGGUUAGUUUUUGCAACUGGAUUCACGUCUGGGUUGUGUCAAUGAAGGUUCUGCAUAUUGUGGCUUGUAGUAAAGUCUUAAAUCACUCACAGAUUUGUGUGAUUAAGGGUGUAAAAUCCCAGCCUGGUUUCCUUUUUGAAGCUCAAGCUCAGCUACUUUUAUAUGACUUGAUUUUUCAGAUCAGAACUAAUGUUUUUUGGAUGCAUGAAAGAAACAUUCAUAAGUACAGCUGCAAGUAAAGGCAGGGCUCUCGUAAUACAUAGCUGCAGUUGUAGUGGCUAAAAUGUGAUUUCACAGAGUAGAAAGCUUGAGGCCAUUACAAAAUCAGUAAACAGAAAGGCGGCCAGUUGAAAAGAGAAAAAUAACAAGCAGGAUAUUGUCUGAUACUACAUCCUGCCAAUGCAAAGCCAGGUGUUCCAAUGGGAAAAAAAGUGAAACAGAAGGUGGUGCUCACAGGAUUGCAUUUACAUACUGCUUAGUAGCACCCAGGGGUGCUCACUGCUGCUGGGAAGGCUGUGGCUGCUGGGUGCUACGUGAGGGUUGUAUGCCUGCUCCCGAUGUGAGCAGGUGAAGAGCUGGCCAAGUUGGGCUGGGGAAGGGAGACAAACACAGCAACCAUGUGGCUGGGGAGGGACUACACUGCUGGUGGAAAACAAGACCAAAGAGGUGAUUUCUGAGGGAUACCAAUGAGAUAAAGGGCUGGAAGGGGCAGGUAAGCAGCAGGAUGGGGGGCUUGGUGAAGUGUGACAUUUAACGAAAACACACCAAGGAUUGUGAGAUGCAGGGCAGAGGACCAUAGGGAGAUAAUCCCAGAGUCCAGGGACAGAUGUGUCUCCAUGGGGGGUCAUGACGGCAGCACAAAGGUCUGCAGAGCCUCCAAAGGAGAGACCCAAGCCCUGCGGAAGGCAACGGUGAGAGGAAGACCAGCUAACACAUGUACAGAUGUUUGCUCUACCUGCUGGGUGCUGGGGAGGUGGUGGAGGCUGCUGGGGAGGUCACAGUCUGGGAUGGGAGAUCCACAGCCAGUGUGUUGGGGUGGGGAAUGAGGGUGGUGAAGGACUGACAUGAAAAAUAAACACGAUAGAUCUGAGAACAGAUUCAGUCACUGGAGAGAAAAGGGAAAACGGUGCAGAGAACCCCAGAGCUGUGAGCUCACGGGUGAGGGAAGCCAGGAGAGGCGCUGGAGGAGCGUGGGAGGUGAGAGGGCUGAGGAGGAGUAAACAUUUGGGUGAAGGCGUAUCUUUCAAUCCCAGCAGGAUCUGCUACAGUGCAGCAGCUCCAAAUCCGUGUUUGCUGGAUCCCAGAUGCCCAAAAAACAGACUUUUGCAGCUUCAUUCUUACCAGCCUUGCUGCUGCUUGUAGAGGGGGGGAUAGUUUGGGGAGGGAUUGGUUUGCUCUCUUACAGUGUGCCUGAGGUUAUGAAUGGCUGCAAAUAUUACCAGCAAAGCCUGGUGCAGGAGAGGAUGAAACAGGAAAAGCCAAAACCAUGUAGAUUCAACAUUCCCCCUUCCUUCCCCUCCCACAGAUUCCUGAAGCUCCCAGGGAGAGGAGAGGAGACGUGACACCUAGGGGUGUUUGUGGUUGCAGUUUGCCCAUGUGGAAAGUGGUGCCUUUCAGGUGCUACGCUGUUUAAGCUUUCUUCCAUUGCACGUGGCCUCAGCGAAGGAGAGCAAUGGCUUUUCUCUGGGCUCCACUCCAGAACAGAGAAGAGGAGGUGGAGGCUCACUUCUUGCCCAGCAGUGAAGACCCUGGUUUUGGAUGUCAGCGAUCAGGUUGAGGUUACUCUGUUUCUUGAGACAGCUUUGACCUGUGUCCCCUGCACCAGGAUUCCCAUCUUGUCUUAUUUUAAAAUCUUUAGAAAAUCACUAGCCUUGGAACCUAAGAGCAUUAACCUCUGUUUUGGUGAUUAGGAUAGUCAUUAAGAAGGACAGCCACGUUUUGGUAAAUACUCCCAAAAGCAGGUGAUGGGAAUGAUCUCAAGCUACAGAGAUAAAGGUAAUCCUGUCCGGCAGUGACAGCAAGGUUGUAAAAACAGAGCACACCGAUGAACCUUCAGCCAUGGGACAUUCCUCCCCCAGUCAGCUCAGUACCUGAUACACAGGUGUGAAUGUAAAUGGAUGCAGGGAAAGUUUCCUGCAGUAUGCUGGAAAUGAUGAGUCACAGACGAAGUGGUUUGAGAAGGCAGAGGAGAGCAGCUCGGCGUGCUGACCUGCCUGACCCGUGGGUCGUCGUGUGGUGCUCCGCCUCCGUCUCUGGUUAGUCGAGUCCCGAGGUCACACUGCAAUUCCUGUAAACUGCCUGAGCACCCGGGAUUGCGGCACCGGUGUACAUGAGUAAAUAAAAUAGGCUGCACUUGCUGGAGAGUCCUAAGUUCUGUGCUGCUGAUUUUGUACCCAUUUCUGUUAUUUUCAUGCUGGAAGCCCUGUGCAGCUGGAUUCUCUAAAGGAGAGAGUUAAAGAGUUAGGCAUGAACAUGU